UACGAAGGGGGCUAGCGUUGCUCGGAAUCACUGGGCGUAAAGGGUGCGUAGGCGGAUUGUUAAGUCGGGGGUGAAAUCCUGGAGCUCAACUCCAGAACUGCCUUCGAUACUGGCGAUCUUGAGUCCGGGAGAGGUGAGUGGAACUCCGAGUGUAGAGGUGAAAUUCGUAGAUAUUGGGAGGAACACCAGUGGCGAAGGCGGCUCACUGGACCGGUACUGACGCUGAUGCGCGAAAGCGUGGGGAGCAAACAGG
rnacentral:rRNA from 1 species